ACACCCGUUCCCAUCCCGAACACGGAAGUUAAGCUCUUCAGCGCCGAUGGUAGUUGGGGGAUUCCCCUGUGAGAGCAGGACGUUGCCAGGC
rnacentral:rRNA from 1 species